AUACGGAGGGUGCAAGCGUUACUCGGAAUCACUGGGCGUAAAGCGCGCGCAGGCGGCUUGUUAAGUUGGAUGUGAAAGCCUACGGCUCAACCGUAGAACUGCAUCCAAAACUGUCAGGCUAGAGUGUGGGAGAGGAAGAUGGAAUUAGUUGUGUAGGGGUAAAAUCCGUAGAGAUAACUAGGAAUACCAAAAGCGAAGGCAAUCUUCUGGAACACUACUGACGCUGAGGCGCGAAGGCGUGGGGAGCAAACAGGAUUAGAAACCCUAGUAGUCC
rnacentral:rRNA from 1 species